rnacentral:rRNA from 1 species
AGUGAACGCUGGCGGCAGGCCUAACACAUGCAAGUCGAACGGCAGCACAAGAGAGCUUGCUCUCUGGGUGGCGAGUGGCGGACGGGUGACGAAUGCAUCGGAAUCUGCCCAUUUGUGGGGGAUAACCUCGGGAAACCGGGACUAAUACCGCAUACGACCUACGGGUGAAAGCAGGGGAUCUUCGGACCUUGCGCAGAUGGAUGAGCCGAUGCCGGAUUAGCUAGUUGGAGGGGUAAAGGCCCACCAAGGCGACGAUCCGUAGCUGGUCUGAGAGGAUGAUCAGCCACACUGGGACUGAGACACGGCCCAGACUCCUACGGGAGGCAGCAGUGGGGAAUCUUGGGCAAUGGGCGCAAGCCUGAUCCAGCCAUGCCGCGUGUGUGAAGAAGGCCUUCGGGUUGUAAAGCACUUUUGUUGGGAAAGAAAAGCAGCCGGUUAAUACCCGGUUGUCAUGACGGUACCCAAAGAAUAAGCACCGGCUAACUUCGUG